AGAAGUAUUGAAAAGAUAAUGAUUGGUGAGUGGAGGAGAGAGAUGAGAUGAGAUGAGAAGGAAGAGGGGGACCAUGGAACAGCACGCGCCUUGGAAUUGAAUAGGUGAUGAUGUGGACAAUUCAAUGGGGACCACUUUUCAUUUUGACUUCACUCAUACAUACCCGCCGCCUCAAUCAAUCUGUGGUCCCUCUUUCACAUACUGUGGGUCCCACUUUCUCGCUAAAUUGUUCCGUCUUCACGCCAUUUUGUCCUCCUCUUCUAACAUCAAAUCAAAUCUUCUGCUCCCUCUUUC
rnacentral:lncRNA from 1 species